rnacentral:snoRNA from 1 species
AAGCAACGCUCUGUGGCAGAUGAUCAAAACUGUCUGACAUAAUUUGAGCAUUCUAUAGCAACAAAGUCUAACCUAUUCCAGUGCUUUCCUCUGAAGAGAUAAGCCAUUUUAUAGACUUAGACAGU